rnacentral:rRNA from 1 species
AACGAACGCUGGCGGCAUGCCUAACACAUGCAAGUCGAACGAGACCUUCGGGUCUAGUGGCGCACGGGUGCGUAACGCGUGGGAACCUGCCCUUAGGUUCGGAAUAACUCCCCGAAAGGGGUGCUAAUACCGGAUAAUGUCUUCGGACCAAAGAUUUAUCGCCUCUGGAUGGGCCCGCGUUGGAUUAGCUAGUUGGUAGGGUAAAAGCCUACCAAGGCGACGAUCCAUAGCUGGUCGGGGAGGAGGAUCAGCCACACUGGGACUGAGACACGGCCCAGACUCCUACGGGAGGCAGCAGUGGGGAAUAUUGGACAAUGGGCGAAAGCCUGAUCCAGCAAUGCCGCGUGAGUGAUGAAGGCCUUAGGGUUGUAAAGCUCUUUUACCCGGGAUGAUAAUGACAGUACCGGGAGAAUAGGCUCCGGCAAACUCCGU